rnacentral:sRNA from 1 species
AGCAAACCCUAUUUAAGGGAUAUUGAAUCUGUCUCUGACGGCUGACCACGGAGGUACUGGCAGUCGUUAUCGAGACCGGUCGAGGAAGGUCGUGCGAAUUUCGCCCGGCCUUUUUUCUU